GGGGACGUAGCUCAGUUGGGAGAGCGCGGGCUUUGCAAGCCUGAGGUCGUGGGUUCGAUCCCCAUCGUCUCCACCA
rnacentral:tRNA from 3 species